rnacentral:rRNA from 1 species
CGGCCAUACCAUGCUGAAUAUACCGGUUCUCGUUAGAUCACCGAAGUCAAGUGUCAUUGGGCGCGGUCUGUACUUGGGUGGGUGACCACCUGUGACCAACACCACGUGCCGU